UUGUUGAGGGCUACAGUUGGACUUGCAUCUUAAAAAACUGAACACUUGAAAACUCCACAGAUUUCGUCAAAAUAGAGUUGUGAUUGGAGCUAGGAAAUCGACUCUUCAAUUAGAUCAGUGAUAGCCCUCUUAUUAGCAGCUAGUGUCACAGAGAUGUGAUCCAUUCAUACUUCAUUGGUAAGUGUCUAGCAGUCUCUUGAUGCCUAACAAGUCGAGUCAUGUUUCGUUGAUAAAUCGAUCUUUUAUUUUGUUAAUAAUAUCCCAAAUCAACGAAAUCUGAGGUUAAAAAAUCAUGUCUAAAAUUCGACUUAAGUGGGAUUAGGUCCCUUGACCUGACAAGUAGCUCGACCUGUGAGCAAUUCUUUUUCUUAUGACUAAAGUUACCUUUCAAAAAAAGAAUUUCUUAUUACUGAAGUCAAUUUAAGUAACCGCUUUCCAUGAUGAUAAGUUCUAGAGGUGUGGAAAUCAUAAUAUUUUAGAUCAAAGUGUUAUACUAAAUCUAUUGACAUCAAGCUUGGGCCUAAAAAUCUAAAAGAGAUAUUCAUUUUAAAAGUUAAUAUUUACCAAAAUUUUCAUUUUAAAAUUCAAGUUAUUAUUUCUUCAAAUAAGAGUACAAAAUUCAAAGAGGAGAAAAACUAGCAUGUAUCCAUUCUUGAAU